GGAUCAUGGCUCAGGAUGAACGCUGGCGGCGUGCUUAACACAUGCAAGUCGAACGAAGCACUUUACUACGAUUCCUUCGGGAUGACGGUUUAGUGACUGAGUGGCGGACGGGUGAGUAACGCGUGGGGAACCUGCCCCAUACCGGGGGAUAACAGCCGGAAACGGCUGCUAAUACCGCAUAAGCGCACAGUACCGCAUGGUACGGUGUGAAAAACUCCGGUGGUAUGGGAUGGACCCGCGUCUGAUUAGCCGGG
rnacentral:rRNA from 1 species